rnacentral:rRNA from 1 species
GAUGAACGUUGACGGCGUGCCUCAGACAUGCAAGUCGAACGAUUAAAGCUCUAUUCGGAGAGUGCAUAGAGUGGCGCACGGGUGAGUAACACGUAAGUAAUCUACCCUCGAGUGGGGAAUAACGUCCGGAAACGGACGCUAAUACCGCAUAAUGCAGCGGCACCGCAAGGUGACAGUUGUUAAAGAUUUAUCGCUUGAGGAGGAGCUUGCGGCAGAUUAGCUAGUUGGUAAGGUAAUGGCUUACCAAGGCUACGAUCUGUAACCGGUCUAAGAGGACGGUCGGUCACACUGACACUGAAUAACGGGUCAGACUCCUACGGGAGGCAGCAGUCGGGAAUUUUGGGCAAUGGGCGAAAGCCUGACCCAGCAACGCCGCGUGAAGGAUGAAGUAUUUCGGUAUGUAAACUUCGAAAGAAUAGGAAGAAUUAAUGACGGUACUAUUUAUAAGGUCCGGCUAACUACGUGCCAGCCGCCGCAGUAACAC